AACUAGAUAACAAAGUAGCCGUAUUUGCUGAGAAGACAUUGUUCCAAUUUAACACUAGUAUUGUUGUUACUGAUGUUAUGAUCGCUCUGCUGCUGUCUCACACAGCCUUAGCCAAAGUAGCAUUGUUGAAUCUUCCUCCCCUCCGUCGCAUUUACCACGAGCACCACCGUCUCUUUUCCUUACUCUUAACAUCCCCAACCAUCAUUUCAUAAAAAGUAAAUAUUUGAUCACAUGACUCUAAUAGUAAACAAUGGGUGGUGAAAUUCAG
rnacentral:lncRNA from 1 species